rnacentral:rRNA from 1 species
UUUAAAGAGAGUUUGAUCCUGGCUCAGGACGAACGCUGGCGGCGUGCCUAAUACAUGCAAGUCGAACGAACGGAGGAAGAGCUUGCUCUUCCAAUGUUAGUGGCGGACGGGUGAGUAACACGUGGGCAACCUGCCUGUAAGUUGGGGAUAACUCCGGGAAACCGGGGCUAAUACCGAAUGAUAAGAUGUGGCGCAUGCCACGCCUUUGAAAGAUGGUUUCGGCUAUCGCUUACAGAUGGGCCCGCGGUGCAUUAGCUAGUUGGUAGGGUAAUGGCCUACCAAGGCAACGAUGCAUAGCCGACCUGAGAGGGUGAUCGGCCACACUGGGACUGAGACACGGCCCAGACUCCUACGGGAGGCAGCAGUAGGGAAUCUUCCGCAAUGGACGAAAGUCUGACGGAGCAACGCCGCGUGUAUGAAGAAGGUUUUCGGAUCGUAAAGUACUGUUGUUAGAGAAGAACAAGGAUAAGAGUAACUGCUUGUCCCUUGACGGUAUCUAACCAGAAAGCCACGGCUAACUACGUGCCAGCAGCCGCGGUAAUACGUAGGUGGCAAGCGUUGUCCGGAUUUAUUGGGCGUAAAGCGCGCGCAGGCGGUCUUUUAAGUCUGAUGUGAAAGCCCCCGGCUUAACCGGGGAGGGUCAUUGGAAACUGGAAGACUGGAGUGCAGAAGAGGAGAGUGGAAUUCCACGUGUAGCGGUGAAAUGCGUAGAUAUGUGGAGGAACACCAGUGG